rnacentral:rRNA from 1 species
AGCUCGGGGAAACUCGAAUUAAUACCGCAUACGACCUACGGGUGAAAGGGGGCGCAAGCUCUUGCUAUUAGAUGAGCCUAAAUCAGAUUAGCUAGUUGGUGGGAUAAAGGCCCACCAAGGCGACGAUCUGUAACUGGUCUGAGAGGAUGAUCAGUCACACCGGAACUGAGACACGGUCCGGACUCCUACGGGAGGCAGCAGUGGGGAAUAUUGGACAAUGGGGGCAACCCUGAUCCAGCCAAGUAGCGUGAAGGAUGACUGCCCUAUGGGUUGUAAACUUCUUUUAUACGGGAAUAACCGGUUCCACGUGUGGAACUUUGCAUGUACCGUAUGAAUAACACUACACGUAGUGCCGUCGACGCGGCCG